rnacentral:rRNA from 1 species
AUUGAACGCUGGCGGCAGGCCUAACACAUGCCAGUCGAGCGGAUGAAGGGAGCUUGCUCCUGGAUUCAGCGGCGGACGGGUGAGUAAUGCCUAGGAAUCUGCCUGGUAGUGGGCGAUAACGUCCGGAAACGGGCGCUAAUACCGCAUACGUCCUGAGGGAGAAAGUGGGGGAUCUUCGGACCUCACGCUAUCAGAUGAGCCUAGGUCGGAUUAGCUAGUUGGUGGGGUAAAGGCCUACCAAGGCGACGAUCCGUAACUGGUCUGAGAGGAUGAUCAGUCACACUGGAACUGAGACACGGUCCAGACUCCUACGGGAGGCAGCAGUGGGGAAUAUUGGACAAUGGGCGAAAGCCUGAUCCAGCCAUGCCGCGUGUGUGAAGAAGGUCUUCGGAUCGUAAAGCACUUUAAGUUGGGAGGAAGGGCAGUAAGUUAAUACCUUGCUGUUUUGACGUUACCAACAGAAUAAGCACCGGCUAACUUCGUG